GAGAUUGGGUCCAAACCAGUUUCUGUUUGUCUGGACCAGAAAUUUGGACCCACCUGUUUUGGGUUUUUGACCCAUUUGACUUUUGGGCCUUUGACCCAUUCCACCUGUCCUUAGCCUAUUACAAAAAAAAAUGCAGAAAAGAAAUACAACAAGGGCUUAGAACCCAAAAUUACAAAAUACAAAGUAAAGAAUAAAAUAAUGUGGGCUUCUUGACCCAACUUCUUCCACUCCUUGGUUUGCUUCAAAUUUCGCUCCAUGGUAUGUUCAUUAGUUUAAGGGAUGAUUGACUCAAAAUGGAAAAAAUUUAAGCCUUUGCAGCUUUCUUUCCUUGAGCAGCGAAAGUGGGACACGAAGACGAGCGAAGAUGACGACCCAAGCCUCAAGUGAGGCUAGACUAAAGAGACGGGAACAGAGUGAUAAUAUGAGGUCUCGACUGAAACUAGAACGAGCUCAGCCUUGAACGUCUUCCUGAUUUUUUAGCUAAUACUUUCUUACUAUUAUCCUCAAUUCUUCUUUCAGUCUAGUUUUUCUAUUAGUUCAAAAUUUC
rnacentral:misc_RNA from 1 species